CCUCGUUGUUGCUUCCCUCUUUUUUCGGUUUUUCUCUAUUUUGUUUUGUUAAAAAUGUAUGACUCUAUAACUUUUAGACCGUGAGGCUAAACAUGGCAUGUGAUACCUUUUCGGAAAGCCCAAAGAGAGCUCUCCGAUGAAUGAGGAAGGAAAAUGGAAUUCUUCUUUUAUUUUUUUUCAACUCCAAAUUUUGACCUAAAUGAAGUUUUUUGCGCUUUUUCGUGGACUUAACUAUAUUACGGGGGGAAAAUUAUAUGUUCGGACAUUGUUUUCCAAUAUUUUGCAUGUAUCAAAGCUCUAAUAAACAGAUAGGGUAUUCCUACAUAGCUAGUGGGAACCCACGACAAAUGGAUCAUAAAGUCUUUAAAAAAAAUAGAUACGAUUGCAUUGCAUGUAGUAACGGAUGCGAUUAUACCAGCAUUAAUGCACCGGAUCCCAUCAGAAAUCUGCAGUUAAGCGUGCUUGGGCGAGAGUAGUACUAGGA
rnacentral:rRNA from 1 species